CGUGAAAGGUUCAGCAUACCUUGGUAAAAAUAAAACAGACCCAAAUUUCUUCAUCGUAAACUAAACAGACCCUGGACAUUCUCUCUCCUCUCUGAUAAAUUCUUUGUCCUCUUCUUCAUCUCUUUGGCAUCCAUGGCUAUGGAGACUUGAUCCCACUAAGUCAGGAUUCACAGAAUUACAAGUAAUAACAGUUCAUCUCCCCCAAAACUCUAUACAUUCAAGUUCUCAACUCACAUUCUGUCUAUCUUUCGGCGAAUCGAUGUCAAUGCGGACGAGAUAUACGGCGUUUCUUAGGUUAGAGUGAGUAUAGGAGGUGAUAGAGGUUAGCGGCGAGGUUAGGGGCGCGGUCGGAGUUAAUUCUGGCAAAUGUUGAUCCAGUCGAAGUUGCAAAAAAUAUCUCUGGAUUGAACCCUGAGAUUACGCCAGGCAA